UUUUGAGUGAAUAACGGAUCUGUGCGUCACUCACGUGAAUGAGGUUCUUCUGUGAAGCACAAAAAGAAGAUAUUUGUCCUUUUAGUGAUGAACAGGUUUGAGCGACAGGAAAGAAUAUUAUAAUAUUGGCUUGGACUAACAUUAGGCAAACUGUCCCAUCAUGCAGCAGGAGCGCUCCUGAGGGACUCCAGCUCUGCGGAUAAUGAAGCCUGUCAUCUCCGCUCACCUCCGCGCCGGACACACUUCCAGCUCCAAACGCCUGCUCCAUCGAUUCGCUGCUAUUUUCCAAAGCGGCUGAAAUAGCUCCCAGAGCUCUUCAGAGCUGCACUUGUUGGUUGAAGAUGUUAUAAGAGCUCACAGUGGAGACGUCUCAAGAUCUGUGAGUUUGUGCUUUAUUUAACCGCACACCGUCCGAGUAAAACAUCGGGGUUCAACUGAAACAGCGACAUCUGAAAUCAGAGCAGAAAGGGUUACAUUCUUGAAGUCGUGGCAUUAAAUAUGACAUGCUUUGAUACAAAUAAAUCUCUUACAGUACAUAUAAACA